rnacentral:rRNA from 1 species
GAUGAACGCUGGCGGCGUGCCUAAUGCAUGCAAGUCGAGCGAACGGACGAGAAGCUUGCUUCUCUGAUGUUAGCGGCGGACGGGUGAGUAACACGUGGAUAACCUACCUAUAAGACUGGGAUAACUUCGGGAAACCGUAGCUAAUACCGGAUAAUAUUUUGAACCGCAUGGUUCAAAAGUGAAAGACGGUCUUGCUGUCACUUAUAGAUGGAUCCGCGCUGCAUUAGCUAGUUGGUAAGGUAACGGCUUACCAAGGCAACGAUGCAUAGCCGACCUGAGAGGGCGAUCGGCCACACUGGAACUGAGACACGGUCCAGACUCCUACGGGAGGCAGCAGUAGGGAAUCUUCCGCAAUGGGCGAAAGCCUGACGGAGCAACGCCGCGUGAGUGAUGAAGGUCUUCGGAUCGUAAAACUCUGUUAUUAGGGAAGAACAUAUGUGUAAGUAACUGUGCACAUCUUGACGGUACCUAAUCAGAAAGCCACGGCUAACUACGUG